rnacentral:rRNA from 1 species
AAUCAACGCUGGCGGCGUGCCUCAGACAUGCAAGUCGAACGCGAAAGUUCCCUUCGGGGGAUGAGUAGAGUGGCGCACGGGUGAGUAACACGUAGGUAAUCUACCUUUGGAUGGGGAAUAACAACCGGAAACGGUUGCUAAUACCGCAUAAUGCAGCGGCACCUAAUGGUGACAGUUGUUAAAGCGGGGGAUCGAAAGACCUCGCGUCUGAAGAGGAGCCUGCGGCGGAUUAGCUAGUUGGUAAGGUAACGGCUUACCAAGGCGACGAUCCGUAGCCGGCCUGAGAGGGCGGUCGGCCACACUGACACUGACAUACGGGUCAGACUCCUACGGGAGGCAGCAGUCGGGAAUUUUGGGCAAUGGGCGAAAGCCUGACCCAGCAACGCCGCGUGAAGGAUGAAAU